AUCCGGAGAGAUUGGGAGGCAACACCAGUGGCGAAGGCGACUAUCUCGCCCGCCAACCGACACCGAGCGCGCGACAGCCCGGGGAGCACACACAGGAUCAGAUACCUGGUAGUCCACCGUAAAGAUGAGUGCUAAGUGUUAGGGGGGUUUCCGCCCUUAGUGUUGUAGUAAACGCAUUUAAGCAUCCGCUUGGGGGAGUACGGGUUGCAAAGACUGAAACUCAAAGGGAAUUGACGGGGGCCCGCACAAGCGGUGGAGCAUGUGGUUUAAUUGAAGCAACGCGAAGAACCUUACCAGGUCUUGACAUCCCGUUGACCACUGUAGAGAUAUGGUUUCCCCUUCGGGGGCAACGGUGACAGGUGGUGCAUGGUUGUCGUCAGCUCGUGUCGUGAGAUGUUGGGUUAAGUCCCGCAACGAGCGCAACCCUUGAUCUUAGUUGCCAUCAUUUAGUUGGGCACUCUAAGGUGACUGCCGGUGACAAACCGGAGGAAGGUGGGGAUGACGUCAAAUCAUCAUGCCCCUUAUGACCUGGGCUACACACGUGCUACAAUGGACGAUACAAACGGUUGCCAACUCGCGAGAGGGAGCUAAUCCGAUAAAGUCGUUCUCAGUUCGGAUUGUAGGCUGCAACUCGCCUACAUGAAGCCGGAAUCGCUAGUAAUCGCGGAUCAGCAUGCCGCGGUGAAUACGUUCCCGGGCCUUGUACACACCGCCCGUCACACCACGAGAGUAUGUAACACCCGAAGUUCGGUGAGGUAUCGUAACAAGGUAGCCAUGCGAUACGUGACG
rnacentral:rRNA from 1 species